rnacentral:rRNA from 1 species
UACGGGGGGGGCUAGCGUUGUUCGGAAUUACUGGGCGUAAAGGGCGCGUAGGCGGUCUGCUAAGUUGGAUGUGAAAACUCUGGGCUUAACCCAGAGCCUGCAUUCAAUACUGACAGGCUAGAGUUCUGGAGGGGAUAGCGGAAUUCCUGGUGUAGCGGUGAAAUGCGUAGAUAUCAGGAGGAACACCGGUGGCGAAGGCGGGAUCCUGGGCCAGUACUGACGCUGAGGAGCGAAAGCGUGGGGAGCAAACAGG